rnacentral:rRNA from 1 species
GUCGAGGGGUAACAUAGUUGCUUGCAACUGAUGACGACCGGCGCACGGGUGCGUAACGCGUAUAGUACCUACCUUAUAGUAAGGGAUAGCCCAGAGAAAUUUGGAUUAAUACCUUAUAGUAUCUUAAGUGAGCCUUCACUAAGGAUUAAAGAUUUAUCGCUAUAAGAUGGCUAUGCGUUCUAUUAGCUAGUUGGUAUGGUAACGGCAUACCAAGGCUACGAUAGAUAGGGGUCCUGAGAGGGAGAUCCCCCACACUGGUACUGAGACACGGACCAGACUCCUACGGGAGGCAGCAGUGAGGAAUAUUGGACAAUGGAGGCAACUCUGAUCCAGCCAUGCCGCGUGUAGGAAGACUGCCCUAUGGGUUGUAAACUACUUUUAUAGAGGAAGAAACCAUUUCACGUGUGAAAUGCUGACGGUACUCUACGAAUAAGGAUCGGCUAACUCCGUGCCAGCAGCCGCGGUAAUACGGAGGAUCCAAGCGUUAUCCGGAAUCAUUGGGUUUAAAGGGUCCGUAGGCGGUUUAGUAAGUCAGUGGUGAAAGUUUUCGGCUCAACCGGAAAAUUGCCAUUGAUACUGCAAGACUUGAAUUAUUGUGAAGUGGUUAGAAUGUGUAGUGUAGCGGUGAAAUGCAUAGAUAUUACACAGAAUACCGAUUGCGAAGGCAGAUCACUAACAAUUAAUUGACGCUAAGGGACGAAAGCGUGGGUAGCGAA